CCAGCGGCCAGAGAAACAUCAUGUGGACUGUUUCUGUCUUGGCUACUCCUCAUCAGUGCUUUGAGCUGCAGGAAGUCAUGAGAACCAAGGCAACACAGGUGCAUCACCAGGGACUUGCUCUUCUCCUGGUCUACUGAAGCACAGCACAAAGUUUCAUCCUUUGCUUCUGCAGAUCUCAUGGAUGUGCCGAUAAACUGCCAUUUAGUCCCGAGGCUGGACAGAAAUAAAUCACCAGAUAAAAUACAAUAUUCCUAGUGAAAACCCUUAUGGAAUGCGUUCUUGCCCCUAACUCCUCCUGGAAUAGGCACAGCAAUGCUCCCUGAGACCUGGCAGCCCUUCUAAGUGAGCAUAUGGUCUGCUCAGCUCCUGCGGUACCAGUGCACGGUGAGUAAACACGCCGUAAUGUCAGAGCAAACAGGGGGCUGCUUAACAGCAUGAAAUUCUGUGGCUACUUCAAAACUUCAUCAGUACUUCAGAAAUGGAUUUCCCUUCUCUGCUGGAGCAUGCACUGUUAGCAGGACAGGCAGGAAAACAGUGAGACAGUCCCCUUGGAGGCUGAUGGUGUCUGUAACCAUCUCCCAUAAAGCUGAUGCUGCUGUGGAAGGCUCCUGGCACAUCAGAAGUUGCAUUUUCUGGUGAUGCUACAUUGCCUUCUUUGUUUUUCUGUGAUGUCCCCUGAUGCCAGGCAACUUGCACAGCAAUUGGAAUAGAAAGAGGGACCUGAAGGUAAAAAUCCCAAUGUUAAUCAGGGCUGCCAAAGGGCAAAACAUUAGCUGCAGUAAUUGUUUUUUUGAGGGAGUCACCAAGGCGGGCUCGUCAGCACUAGUAAACAGAUCCAGUCCUGCCUUUGUGCUCCUUGCACUGGCAGAGCAUUGCCCUGAAAUCACUGGAGCAGGGAUCGGGCCAGGAAUGAGCAGCUAAGUUGCAAAGCAAAUUAAUUCCUGCCAAAAAAGUUCAGCUAUGCUCAGAAGUAUGUAAAGUGUCUGAUUUGAGAAGUGUCAAGUAGCAUUUGUGACCAAUUAUCCAAGAUGAAGGGGGCAGAGCUAUGUUUACAUGUACUAAUCUUCAGCCAAAGUUUGAAAACUCCAAUUCAUGGACACGCAUCAAAUUUCCUUUCCAGGCUUGGCAUUUGCCUGUACGCACGCAGGCACAUUGCUCGGGGAUGACAGGAAAACAUGAUUAUGACUUGCAAAUAAUACAAAUAGAAAAAAGGAAAAGCGAGAGGAGCUGCCAUGCAGCAGCAGCGUGGUAAUUAAACUUAUACUGUGAUAUGCAAAAAGAAUAGUGGACCACUGCAUGAGUAAAAUAGCUUUAUCAGCUGUGCUGAAAUACGACGUGUUGUGUGUCUGUAUUGUUGUUUUUCCACAACCUGUGAAGCCCUUGGAAAUGCUCUAUGUAAAAGAGCAAGAAGUAAAAGGUGCCUCUGCCAUCUUCUGUUUAAUUAACAUAGAUAUACCAAUUUAAUGCAAUUAAUCAAGAUAGGAGAGAUUAAACAGUAACUCUCAGUUGACAAUGACAAUGUUGUCAUUGUUGUGGCAUAAGAAGGGCUACAAAAUGAUAGUGGUGACUGGGAACACUGUGAGUAAGAACAGGCUGGCUGGAGUCUUGGGAGGUUUAUGUAGAUGUAUUGAAAUUUAGGGACAGCUGAUUUUUCAUGUGGCCAAGUGUUUAUCUGCCCCUGCCCUUCCCUUUACCCUCUCAGACCUUCCAGGGUAAUCCCCAGAGUGGUAACAACUUUUAAAGCGAUUCCUCUUUCUUCUAACAGGUUCCUGAUGCCAAAGGUCUGACCUUAAAAUGAGCAGUGCAUAGGGCAAGAAUGGGUACUGUAGAGAGCUUCUGGCCUCCAACCCUUCCAAAUACAGCUAUUUUGGUAACCAGAACAGUGUAUUCAUGAUGAGUAAGGGAACAGAGCCUUCCAGUAAAGGGUUUCUCGGCACAUUAACUCUAUCAGUGCUGGAUACUGUGUCCCAAUUCAGGUUGCCUGUGACUAUUUAAGACCAUAAAUGCAGAUUUGCAGAAGUCUGUGGCAUUGUGUAAGUUCAUGGCUGUGCUUCAGUGCCUGCUGCCCCUGAAAACUGAACCAAAUCCCAUGGAUUUCCGUGUAGAUCUGGGAAAAAUUGCAAUCAUGUGCCGCUCUGAGUAGUUCAGACUUGGAUUUCUUAUUGGCAGGAGAGGCACAGCCUGGUUUGCUACAAUGCAACUGUCCUCAUUAAUGUUCUUCAAGCCCUGAUGUCCUGGGACCGCCAUGGUUGGGUCAGAAGAUGGCUGAGUUUUCCAGGCUCAUUCUCUUGUCUUCAGAAUGUUAAAUUGGGUGAUAAUGAGUAGUAACUGUGUCCCUUUUUAUGGUGAAGUUGACACUUGCCUUCUAGUAAACAGACACAGAGAUGACCCUCCUCAUUUCGCACAGGUCACCAAACAGCCCUGGGAUGGUAAGGGUUAUUGGCCAUUUACCAAACUCUGUUUGACUUGGGUUCAUGGGUGAGAGAUGAAAGGCUCUGUAUUGCAUUACCAGUCCCUGGGGCCAGCCGGUCUCCCUAAAGAGGCAUUUCAUUUAGCAAGGCAACUGCUGGCCCAUGGGAAUUGGAGAGCUGGGAAAAAGAGGACGCAGUUUCAAUUGCGAAUGUUUCCUUAGGGCAGAUGUCUUAAAGCCACACAGGAACUCGCUGCUUCACUGUCACAAUAGUUGCUCCAGGACACUUAAUGACCAUCAGGCUUUUCCCAUUAAUUAAUCUCCUCUUUUUUUCCCAACAAAACAUCCAUUAAGUUACUUGGGUUGUUUCUGCUUCUGCCCUGCUCUGUUUUUCUCCAUCUUCCUGAGGCAAGACCAAUGCAGCAGUUAUGAACUGAUACCUUUUCCAAGAGCUCCAGAUUUGAAAUGGGUGAAACAAGGAGCCUGGUAUCACAGUAAGAGCUGUUGGCUGCUUGGGAGGAGUUCUCCUGGACUACCCAAAUAUUUUCAUUAUUGUAGAGCAGAGAUGCUGACUAAUUUUCCUGGCUAUAGUGGAGUGGUCCUUGGUAUCGGGGUAGUCCAAGUGCUGACUUUUUACAGAUGAUAGAUGAAGUGCUUGAUGCUACAAUGGCUACGGGAAGGAGAAUACCUGUGAUCAAGGAUUCAACUCAGACCUGUCCUGAAUUUCUUAUGAUCUGAAAAUCCAGUGUUGUUCCAAAUUCAUUAUCACUGGUCAAAAUCCUCCUUCAGUUUCCUCACUUGCUGUUUGUGAUGCGAAUCCUGAGACAUUCAGAAGUCGUAUCUGUUGUUUGAUAGUUCUACAUCAUGGCUGUAAUAGUGCAUCUGCCAAGUCAGCAGCUUUUUUCUGUGUUUGUUUAUUUAUUUACUACUCCAUUUCCAGCAAGUUCUUGUUACCCAGUUCCCACUGACAAUGAGGGAAGAGGCACAAGUCAGCUCAGAAAAUGAACGACUAGAAGACUGCGUGGUCUCAGUGAUACUGCACCAUCCCGGUUCCUGCCUUCAGGCUGGAGUCACAAGUCGGACUUGGAAGAAGCAACUUUCGGGCAGAGAUGUAACUGCAGAGUGAACACUAUGCCAGGGUCUUGGGUUAUCUCAUGCAUCCUUUCUGUGUUGACUGCUCUGUGUUAGUUUUGCUCAGACAGAAGGUAGAGAUAAUCGAUAAUUUCUUUAUGGAUGAAAGCAACAGAGUUUCCUGACAUCUAGUAACUACUCAAUACCAGCAACUUACACAUCCCUCUGUGCUACUACUAUUGCUUUGAAGCAAUUUAUUUAAUCACUUGGACUUUAACUACUCAGAUGCAUUCCUUCCUGCUGCAACAGCAGGGAUACAGGAAGGGGUGUUUGAAGCCACGCGGUGAUUUCCACCCUGGAUUUCAUGAGGGGUUAUUCUUGUCUCAGAGAUGACGCAUUCAAAUAUCCUUCUACAGAUUCCAGGUGAGUUAGUCACAUUUAGAUGCUUCCAAGUAAUACACAGAAAGGUGCUGAGAAAAUGACGAGUCCCUGCCUAGUCAGAAAAAAAAGCUCAGCAAAAGUAGAUCAGAGCAAAUUACAUGGACCAGCCCUCAAAUUUUUCUCAGAAAACCUGGGACCAAAGGGCUUUUAUAUUCAAAAAUGUGUGGCCAACAGGGAUGCACGGUAUUUACUUUACUGACUGACCCAUGAGCUGCUCUCUGUCCCCAGAAACAGUUCAGGAAAUGACUGGAAGUAUCUGAAGACAUAAAAAGGAUAAUUAAGUUUCAUUGUGGAAAUAAGAGGGUAAUCUGUCCAGACAAAUCUAGGACCUAGUACUGAAAGCUAUAGUAUCUGAAUAUAAAAAAUGAGUAAUUUUGAAUAAAGAUGUCUAUCAGGACUGUAAAUUCAGAGAGUAAAAAAGUAGCUUUGCUUAAUAGACCAUCUCUCUCUCCAUCUCCCUCUAACUCAUUUUCUUAUUCUCUUUCUUCCUUUUGUGUUAUUGCAAAAAAUGCGUGUAAAAUCUGAUAUUGAGAAUGCUUUAGCUUCAUUUCAAUCUUCUCAAAAUGUUUAGUUCCACUGGGAAGAUUCUCCCUGUGAGAUAACCUCAGCCGUGACCACGCGAGGCUUGUGGGGUGAUUUAUUUGCAGAGGAACAACUGUAUUUUGAGGUGUCUCUGAGGCAGCCAGGUCCCCCACUUUUCUGAGACUCUCAAAGAUGUUUCUGAGCUGGCAUGAGAAAUCACCUGGGACUCUGAGCAGACCACAAGUGCUUAGGACAGUGUUUUCUCUGCACCUUUUUUAACCGAGCAGAAUUGCAGCACUAUAAACAAAUGUGAGUUUUACCUCAUUCUUAGGUGCUGUGAGUUAUGAAAGCCCACUCCAGAUGUAAUGAAUGUAUAGAUCAUUUUGACCAGAUCAUAAUCCAUUAGUAAAUAAUGCUCCCUGAAAAGGUGUGGGUGAAAUAAAGAACUUCUUGCUACUAUUGCUGUAUUGGUAUCAAGGAUUACCAAGGAGGCCAACACGAUCCUGAAGCUUUGUGCUACUGAUGUUUAAAUACAAUGCAGAAUUAACUGCAGGGUUUGGUUAGCAAAUUCCUUCCUGGAUUAGGAUAUCCAGGAUUUAUACUGCUGGAAACAGAACCCAAAACUAUACAAAGCUUACCUAUCCCUUGGCUUUACCACAAGCCCCAACUUCAGCUCACCGACAGUCUCGUGUAGCAUUUAAAAAACUUUCCCAUUUGGUUCCCCUGAUUUUGGUAGUGAUAUUAAUAAGCAAAUCAAACAGAAAUUUUCAGAAUGAGUUGAUCCUGAUAGAGCAAACCCCUAUAACACCUGUGACUUUUCUUCACUGUCCCUGGAGGAACCCCAAGGAUACCAGACUAAGACCUGAGGCCAAUUGUCAGCACAGUCUAUGGGCCAUGGGAAGGUUAGGUUUAAAGAUGACACUUAAGGGAAAUCUAUGUGACACAUACUGUGGUGUCCAGAGAUUGGAGACUAUGUAUUGUGCUCUAAAUCUAGAGAGGAAGUCACUAGGAGGAAAAAAAAAAAAGAAAGAAGCACGGGGGAAUAAAAGUACUUUUGAAAGAGAAGAAAUCUACAUUUCAAUGAAAAUCCUUUCAAGGCAUUUCAAAUAAGAGUCUGAGAGAAAUAAUUACAAAGUUUGGAGAGAAAGAAUGUUAGCUUUGAUAUCUUUUUCUUCUAUGAAGCAAUUAAAAUAAGCAAUUUUUCAAAUACUAAGCAGAAAAUUACUAAUGGCUGAACCCAAAAGCUUUCAUUUCCUUUUUGGGGCCUUUAUUCUUCUAAAAAAAGACAAAAAAAAUGUGAAGGUGGUUUUCCAGAUAGAUUAAUGCAUAAAGCAGUCGCUAGUUGGAUGUCAUAAAAACUACAGCAGCAUAGAAUAGCUGAGAUUAAGAGCUAGAUUUAAAUCAUGCAACAGUCCAGUUAAUAUCAAUGUCUAAUUAAGAAAUGCAUAAGAAGUCUGUAAUGUUGAUUUGAUGGAGAAAAACUCUAAUAGGGUUUCUUUUGGAAUUUUCCAUUUCAAUUGCUGUGUAGACUUUUAAUGGAUGUUCUAUCCAGUCUUUGGUAUUAGCAGGAAUCAUCCUCAAAUUAAAACCAAGGCCUAAAAUGGAACACAGGUAGACAAAUUAGCUGGUCUGGGAAGCAGUCUGGGUACAAUGACAAUGUGAGCUCAAGCCGAAACUUUAGUACAAAUAAAAGAGAACUAACGUCUCAAAUCUGGUGUGGAAACCCUCUCUACUUAUCGUUUUAAGCAAUUUAAAACCCUGUAAUUUGAAACAAUGCAAUGUUAACCCAUUUCCCCACCUCCCUAAGCCUGCAGAAAUCCAAUUCAUACUUAGGCAUCCAGACCACUUGGCAUUAUUAAUUAGUCUUUUUUUAUUUAAAAGACUUCCCAUAGUUAUGCAUAUAAGUAAUAUGUAGAGGUGGGUUCCUCUUUGCAUGCAAUGGGAUUCAGAGCUCACAGGUCCCUGUCAUUACCAAAGAACACCAUUAAUCUCCCACCCCUCUAUGGGUAACUAAAGCUCUUAAACCCUUUCAGCAAAACUAAACCUUCAGCAUCCUCUGUGUCCCAUGGAUCAUCCAGGACAUUUGGGCUCUGGAUAUGAAAGAGGAACUGGUUUUGUGAUGAACGUCACUAAUACCCUAAAGUUGCUAAAUUAGGAGCAGUGUAACUCUUGGUAUACACAAAUCCACUUUGCAAAGAGGGGGAAAGCACAGUGCUGGAUUAAAGUAGAAGUGUAUUUGUUAUCAGUACUUUGUUGUUGACCCAACAAAUCCAGAGGGAACUGUCUCAAGAAUCCAGGAAGAUGGCAAACUCAAAACAACCCCUCUGAACCAGGCAGCAAGCACACUGGGGAGUAAUUGUUAAGUUCAUUAGAACACAUUAAAAUACAGUACAUUGGCCAUGAUAAAGAGAGCCAUGUGAUUCCACCUCUCUCCAUGUUUCUUUCCAGUAGUAAAUCCAUCCAGAGACCUUUCAGAAUUAUAUCAUUAAGUCUUAUCACUUCCACAGAGAGUGGAAAAGACCAGAGGUAAAAAUCAGAGUAACAGUGAAAUUUUGGCACUCCUGAGCCACUUCUUUUUUUUAGGUCAUUGCCUGAAAUGUCACGGUCCAAAUUCAUGCCUGACAUUGCUCCAUUGAUCCGUGAGGCACAAAUAUGUCAUGUUAAGCAGUGAUACUGUGGCCCUAGGGGAUGCCCCAAAGAUUUUUCUCCUUGAAAGACAUGGGAACUAGGAUGUUCCCAGUGAGGCAUCUGCCUUCUGAAUGAUAGAGAAAGUCUAAUGUGAGGACAUUCAGGUCAUCACAAGAGUCUGAUUUUUUACCCUGCUCCUGACUUUGUGACUGGGGAGGUACUGUGGGUAGGGAUGCUGAUAGAUGAUUGUUCAGGUGGAGCACUGCUCUAGCAGGAUGAUUUGUCUGCAACCUUUGUUAGAUUUAUGCAAUACUUAAGAAAAGAACAAAAGUAUGAAGCAGAUUGGCUUUUGCAAAGGAAUGCAACAGAAAAACAAGCAAACCUUAACUUGUCCAACACACUUGAGAACCACAAAUUCUGUUACAGUUUUUCUAAAUGAGAGGAAUAUUUCUCCUUUCCUCCGUAAAACCAUCCUUUUAGACAUUACUGCAGUUAUGACCUCACUGCAGUUCCUGGAUUCUUUCUGAAAAGGUUGAAAUGAACUAAUACACCAGUGAUCUCAUCACGGUGUAAAGGACAUCUUACACAGGGGAAAAAAUAAUCAGGAGAACUUCAGUGCUUUGUUUGCAGCAAGAAUAGAAAAAGCACUAUAAUAUCACUGUGGAAAACACUAAAGAUACAAUGCCAGAGAGGCAUUUUUCCAUCUUCUUGUAAACCAUUUGGAUUUGUCCUACCUGAUCCUGCCUGUCACACCUGUCAUCCUUUUAGCUGUCUCCACAUCAAUCAUCUUUCCUUUUUUCCUGCCUUAAUCUAGACCUUCCCAUGUCUUCUCUGUGCCCUUCCUACCUGUUUUACUGUACCUAAUAACUCUGAAUUGUAUGUACUACUAGUCUCAACUGCUUCCAAAAUGCAUUUUGCAGGGUACACACAUGCAGUCACGUUACACCAAAGCAUCUACACAUACUUAAUCUGUAACCUGUGUUGUUCUGGGGAAGAACACCUUUCCUAUGUGUACACACAGUUCUCAGGCCAAGGGGUCAUGGUUGAUGGCAGAUCUCAUCUGCUUUGGAGCUGUUGAAUCUUCUAACAGAAAUCAGAAAGAUGAGUAGGGUCAGAUGCUUUGCUUUCUUUGGUAGGAAAACCUAUAAAUUAAUAUUCCUGUAACUGAGAACCCUUCCACAUUUUUAAUAUAUCACAUUUUGAGGUUGGAAACUAGAAUAUCCUCAGAACACGAUGAGUAUAGUCUCAAUAAUGUCAUCUUAUCUUAUCUAGCCCACAGGUGCUCCUCAGCUCUGCCUUGGGAUGACACCAUGAAGCAAUGAGGUGACAAACCGGUUUCCUUUCUCAAGCCAAAUGUCACGUAACUGCCCAGGGACCUGUUUUGUUGGGGUUGCACCCCCUGACUUUUCAAGGAGAGAUGUGCUGCUGUGACCCAUCCCCACCCUGUACACCUUGCUGAAGGAGAUAAAACUGCUCACUUCCACCUCUGACAUUUCUCAGCCAGGAAGAAAGGCAGGAGGCAUCAGGCUGUAGGGAGAUAUCCGAGCAGACACCUGACAUGCUGACAAAGAAACCUCCAAAACCCAUCAAGUGGAGAUGAGUUCCCAGGGCUAGAGCAAGCUGAUAUAAAGGAUGUUGGUACCCUUAUACCCACCCAAAAAAGUUACUACUCCUAAACGGGGCAGCAGACAAAUCUGUCCAACCCCAAAUGCUCUGCAGUUGAUAGAUCUGCUUUAGUGAGGAGAGCCCCAGCCAGUGAUGAGUGUUGUAGGAGAAUGCAUGCUGCAGCAUCAGUAAAGUCCAAAAAGCCCAAGGAGCAGUGCAGAACAUCUGUUGCCAACAAGAAAAUAGUAUGUGAAAAGCUGUUGUAAUUCCUGGCCCCAGCAGCCUAACUGGAGGCACAGACUUCCCAAGGCAAAGAGGACUUGGAGAACUCGGGAUGUUCAAUGAGAUCUCUCCCCGCUCCUGCAGAUUUACCAGGUCAGCUCAGUCCAGGCCAAAGUUGCCGGGAAAGGUCCUGGGCUCUACUCCAAGUUCAUUGCUCUAUUGAUUGUGAAGAGGUAUUUAUUGUAGAUCAGGAUCUUGAGCCAAGGCAGCUGAAGCCGCACGGACUAAAUCGUCUAUUCCCCACCUACAGAUAAAACAAAUGGCCAGUUUUGGCCUAAUCAUCACUUCUGCCAGAGGAAAGAGAAACUCUUUGAGGUAAGUUCUCUCGGACAUAAUUCUUUCUUUCUAGGCUAAAGGGCUGGAGCUAAUAUAUAUCCCGAAUCGUAAUGUGGAUUUGCACCUUUCCUGUUAAAUAUAGCUGGUUUGUGUCCAAAGCAUCGCUCCUAUCCCUAAUGCUCACUUAUAUUGUUACAACUUCUACAUUAGUUGCAGGUGUGAAAUGCCAACUGAUCCACACUUCUCGUGCUGUCAGCAGGGGAGUAAUGUAUGUCAAAGGCCUGAUCCUCAGAGGGGAGGUCACCUGGAUCUCCAUUUGCACAUCUGCUUUGCUAAACACAAAACUCUGGAGGUUUGAAAAGCUCCAGUAUUCACAAAAUGGGAUGAGUUCACUGGGGGCCAUACAUAAGAAACUGUUUGUGCUUGUCAUUUAGUAGGCAGGUCACAGAAUUUUCCCUCUGUACAAAAUACUUGCUGUUUUACAACAGGCAAUGUUUCACUAGUCCUCAUAUGUGGAUACUUGUACGUUCUAUAUUAAUAAGGAAAAAAGCUACAUUUCUCCAUGUUAUAGGAUAUAAGAGAAGUCAGGAUACCAACAGGAUACCUACAGGCUAAAAUAGAACCACAUAUAUUAAACAGCUCCAGAAAGAUGCUAAUAUUCAGCAUGUUCCUGCUUGGAGUGUGCAGACAUGAAGAUCAGGAAACUGCCUGAUCAGAGAUCCUGGAGGGACAAUGUCGCUCGAGCUUGUCUUAAAAGACAUCCUGGUUUAGUUCUGAGGGUUUCAAGAGAAGCUUACAAAUAUUUCUAUUUCUUCCUGCUAUUGGGGGAUUUUUUUCAUACCUUGGAAUAAAUCUUCCAAAGGUAAUGUGUUUGCACUGGAUGCCUAGAUAAUGGUUCUUGCUCAGGGGACCUCUAAUACACAGUAGUGCCUUCUACACUUUUUAUAAGAUCAAAGACUAAACCUACAUAUAGGCUUAACUCUUUCUUGAUUUCUGCUAAUCUAGAAUAUCCUUCAAUAUCUGCAAUAAGGAUUCCCACAAAUAAUCCAUACAGAAGAUCUUUUUGUCUUCACAUUUUUGGCCUUUUAAUGUCAUCUGUUCAUGACAUCAUGAUUCUGGUUGCUCUGGACAUAUGGGAGAUUUUAAAUAUAUGCAUGCAAGCAUCAUUCACCACUAUGCACUAUGUUUUUUCUCCCUCAGCUGACUACUUCUAAAUAUUUUGGAUAGUAGAACCAAAAUUGAUCUUACUAUCCAAAAUGAGAAAAUAGGGAAUUAGUCAUCAGCUUUAUGUUUUGUUACGUGGAAUUUAGACUUAACAUCCCCAUAGUGACUUAGCUGGAAUUGAAAACAAGCUCAAAGUAUAUUGGGGAAAGCCAUGAACUGAACACAGAGGUCAGAGCAUGUUCCAUGAACACCUCAAAUUCCAACCCCGAGGAAUUGUUCAAAUAUGUCACUUGAAAAGGACAUCUCCUCAAGGAAGCUGUUAAAAAUAAUUUUCACAAGAAUCAGGAGAGGUUCACUUUUAAUAUCAAGGAAGGGAAGCACUUGCUUUUUAAAGAAAAGUUUGAUUCUGAAAAAAUCUCAUUGCAUUGGUAAGUUAAAGGAGCUGUGCUGUAGCAGACAGAGUGGCUUGUUUGGCUCUUCAUGGAAGUGGCUGUUGAAUUCCCAGGUGGCCUUUCCCCCUGAAAUUUACACCAGAAAUUCAGGGCAAAAAUUUCUUGUUUGAUCAGAAUGACUUCAUUACCUUCCUGACUAAUAGGAUUUGCAUAUGUUUCCCUGGGCUGUAGAUUGCAAAACUAAUAGACCCAUGAAAAGAAAUGGAGAAAGAAAUACUGAUUUUCUUGGCAUGAAAUACAGAAAAAUUGGGCCUGAAAAACGUUUGAGUAUAAUAUGCUGAAAGUUUAAAGAAGCAUUUUUAAAGAAACAUUUUCCAAGAGCAUGCCUGUUAGUUUUAUCUCCAUUUUUGCCACGUAUAAUUAUGAGAAACACAGACAACUCAUAAGAUUUUUAGUUUCUGUUGAGAAUUGUCUUUUCCAAGAUAAUUCUGUACACUAUUACUUUAGCCCACCGGGUAUCAUGUAGGCAAGGUAUAAGAUUAUGCACAUGAAUAUUUCUGUCUACCACUUAUGUGUGCUGAGACAAUAUCAACUUAUACUUUCUCCUGUCAUUGGUCCUUAUUCCAUAGAGGAUAUUCUUAAUUACCAGCAAGACAAUUUGGUAAUAUCAUGUAAAGUGUAACAGCAUAAUUUCUGUGAUGAUUUACACCUGCUCAGGAUCUGAACAUUGGAUUUUAAAACAUAUUUUAAGUUCAGAAGAUCGAGGGUAUUUUUUUCUAUGAGCCACUUCUUCUAUUUUUAAUAGAAAUACUCUCAUUUAUUUAAUUUAUUAGCAUGGUUCUUCUAAGUGAAAUGGAGCUUUUGUACACAAAGACACCAUUUUUACACAUUUGCACUGCCCUGAAAAAUUUAGAGCACACUUCUGUACUGGGUUAAAUCAACUCAAGCCUAAAUGCCUAAACACUAUUUUUGACAGCAGUGCAUGAGGGACAUACCUGUACAGGGAUUCUAAAGAACAAAAACCCUAAAAAUAUCUCAGUUGCAAAGAAACUGUAUUCCUUUUUCCACUUUGUAAUUGUGGUUAUAUAUAUUCUUUUUAACCCUUGCGGGUUUAUUCCUAAAUCUGUUAGAAAUGAUUGAAAUUAUUCCAUUAACUCCAACAGACUCUGCUUCCUGCUGGAUUAAAGGAGACAUUUGUGUAUCAGAUUUGCUGGUGAUGUCCCACUAAUGAAAUGGGGAAUUUUAUAAACAGGUCAGGGAGGGUAAGUGCCCAAUAAAAAGAUGUCAGAUAGAGAUCCACAAAUUACAGUCUAUUUGUAACAGAAAUAAAACAAGGAAUGCUUACUAAAGAGUCAUGAAUUUCUUUAUAAUUGCUUCCACAUUUGGGCCAACUUCUUCCUAAAUCGUCUACAGAAACCCUGCAAUUCAUGGGACUUUUGAUAGUGGUUAUGAUCACAACAAUACAUCUCAUUUAUGAUAAAAAUUACUUACUUUGGAAAGGAUUGUUUUUUUCCUCAAAUUGCUUUUCUCAGUCUUUAUUUCAAUCUCCAGCUAUUUUCUUAUCCUCCUCCUCAUUUUCUAUUUCUAAUAUAAAAACUGGAGUUCUUAUCAAUUUAGAAAAGAAAUAAAACUAAAGAAAAUUCAGAACUGUAAAGCAUGGUCUAUUUUAAAGUUCCAGCUCAGAUAAUAAGACUGUGGUUUGUGCUGUACCUCACUCAUGAACUCAGUUUUCCAUAGCGCAUUCAGUGUUGUAAUAAUGCAAAUCAAAUACAAUUUUAAUAACUCCUUCCAUUAAAAUGAUCUAUUAAUGUUUUAAGACUGCAACACUUAUGAGCAUGAUUCUAAUUGCAUGAUUUUGCUGCAGGCAAGUUUCAUAGAUCUGCCUGAUCUUUGGAUAUUUGCACUGUUUGGAUAAUUUUAAAUAAUUAAUUUUUGGAAGCGUUUCAGUCUCUGUAACAAGAGUUGGGUUUGAUAGUGGUUGUCUUGUCAGUAAUUGUAUGUAUCUGCUUCCAUUCAAAGGAAAAUGAGACAAAUUUAGAACUCUUUGAAAGGAGAUGACUGAGGUGUAUACUGUGACAAACAUUAUGAAGAACACUCUAAAGAGGGGAAUAUUUAUAGACUAUGUUAAUACAAGGAGCAAAAGAGGUUUAAAGUGAAUAAAAUUUUUUGUCAUGCAGCAUAAUUAAAUUGCAGGAUUUUCUGCCACAGAAUACCAAAAAUAUAAUCAGGCUAGAAUACCAUUAAACAUUCUUGGUUUAUGCAA